UACGAAGGGGGCUAGCGUUGUUCGGAAUUACUGGGCGUAAAGCGCACGUAGGCGGAUUUGUAAGUCAGGGGUGAAAUCCCGGGGCUCAACCUCGGAACUGCCUUUGAUACUGCAAGUCUCGAGUCCGAUAGAGGUGAGUGGAAUUCCUAGUGUAGAGGUGAAAUUCGUAGAUAUUAGGAAGAACACCAGUGGCGAAGGCGGCUCACUGGAUCGGUACUGACGCUGAGGUGCGAAAGCGUGGGGAGCAAACAGGGAUUAAGAUACCCCUGAG
rnacentral:rRNA from 1 species